rnacentral:lncRNA from 1 species
CCACUACCAGAGGGUUCUCCACCAUUGCCUAUUGAUUCUCCUCCUCCACCCCCACCUUUGCCUCCUUCACCGCCCCCACCACCACCUCCUCCAUUAUCUCCAUCACCUCCACCGCCUCCACCUCCUUUUCCGUCACAGCUGCCCCCACUUCCUCCACCACCUGCAGGGCCACCUCCACCUACAGGCCCUCCUCCACCUGCAGGGCCUCCUCCACCUACAGUCCAUCCACCACCUAUGGGGCCUCCACCAUCUACGGGUCCUCCACCACCUAUGGGGCCUCCACCAUCUACGGGUCCUCCACCACCUAUGGGGCCUCCACCUCCAAUGGGCCCUCCACCUAGGGGUCCUCCACCGCUUAUGGGUCCUCCACCACCGACGGGGCCUCCACCACCCACAGGCCCUCCACCACCAAGGGGUCCACCACCUAUUGGGCCUCCACCACCUGCAGGGCCCCCACUACCUCCAGGCCCUCCACCCC